AGGCCUUGGACCAAACAAAUUAAUCAGGCUUUUAUUCCAUCUCUCACUCCCACUUCGGCUGUUUCAACACUAUUUUCAGACUAAAAAACUUCCACACUUCCCCUCUCUCCCAUUUCACUCCUCUCUCUACGAUUCUCUGAGUCACAAACCCUAACCCCUCUUUUCUUCAAUCUUCGAUUUUCGAAUUUCCAAGAUGCGUGAGAUUCUCCUCUCUUUACUUUCUUGACUUGAGAUUAGGGUUCCAUUUGUGAAGGAGGAUUUCAAGGGUUCUGCGUAUUGAAAGAUAAGGUUUUUCAAUCUGCUGGUUCUUCUCUUUCUCUCUUGGCAAAAGAUCCCAGCGACUUCCUUCAUCCAACCAAGACCCUAAAUCCCAGCGACUUCCAUGGAUUGAUACAUUCAAGCUCAGAGAGAAUGCAAAGCAAGGCUCCACUUGUCUCUUGCAAGGUUUUCCAAUCCCAGAUUUCGACUCUGUUGGUCUCAAUGUUCGCACCUUCGCCUCAAUCUAGGUUGCUAGAUGGUUGUGGCAGGAUUCGGAGAUUUAAAUUUCUUGUUUACUUGCAGCUAUCUCUACUCCUCCUCCUCCUCCUCUUGAUGAAAAGACACAGGAAAUACAAGUUGCAUCCCCUCCAAACCUCAUUAGUUAAAUCCACAAGCUGCUGAUUUAUCAAUAUUUGGGCCGCAUAUAAGGAAAUUGAAAGAACUUUUUGUUUCUGGGGAGCGCAAAUGUUUCCAAAGAUUGAUUGGAAUACUAUUGCAGUUGAGAUUAUUGAUAUGCUGGGUAUUUGAAAACAGAGAGAUAAAGUCAUUUAUAUGAGAUUUGGAAGUGGCCUUGCAUUAUGACUCAGAGUCAUACCAAGGCUAUAAGAGAACUUGGAUGAAGUGAAGAAGAGGUUCAAGGAAGAGUAGCUGUUCAGCCUUUAGUAAUAUUGUUCUCAAUGUUGUUCUUGUGUUUUAAUGUAGGGAAAAAUUCUGUUUAGUCCCUGUACUAUGACUCUAUCAUCGUUUCAGUCUCUGACAUUCUAAUUUAAUCUGAAAAGUCCCUAAAGUUACAAUUUCCGUCUAA